AUUGAACGCUGGCGGCAGGCCUAACACAUGCAAGUCGAGCGGAUGAAGGGAGCUUGCUCCUGGAUUCAGCGGCGGACGGGUGAGUAAUGCCUAGGAAUCUGCCUGGUAGUGGGGGAUAACGUCCGGAAACGGGCGCUAAUACCGCAUACGUCCUGAGGGAGAAAGUGGGGGAUCUUCGGACCUCACGCUAUCAGAUGAGCCUAGGUCGGAUUAGCUAGUUGGUGGGGUAAAGGCCUACCAAGGCGACGAUCCGUAACUGGUCUGAGAGGAUGAUCAGUCACCCUGGAACUGAGACACGGUCCAUACUCCUGCGGGAGGCAGCAGUGGGGAAUAUUGGACAGUGGGCGAAAGCCUGGUCCAGCCAUGCCGCGUGUGUGAAGAAGGUCUUCGGAUUGUAAAGCACUUUAAGUUGGGAGGAAGGGCAGUAAGUUAAUACCUUGCUGUUUUGACGGUACCAACAGAAUAAGCACCGGCUAACUUCGUG
rnacentral:rRNA from 1 species